rnacentral:piRNA from 1 species
CUUGUAAGGUAACCCCUUCAGCAGAACUCU